CCCUGUCACAGAGGCUUGAAGGACACAGAUCAAUCAAACUUUCAGAGAAAGCUUUCCAAAAAUUUUAACCAUGAUUUCAGCUAUGUCCCAAUCUUACAAAACAAGAAGCACAAUGCAGUGUGGAGGCAAGGAAUAGGAAAAGUCAAUGGUGGUGGGAUUUGCUGUGUGAGAAGACACACACACACACACACACACACACACACACACACACACACACACACAAAUAAAAGAGGAAGGAAGAUGGGGGCACAGGAGUUGUGGGUGAUGAGGGAAACAGGUUUGAAUUGUGGAUUGCUACUACCAUGGCUGGCCACACACAUUCAUUCUCUGGAGUAAUCAUGAAAUGUAGAGAGAAAAUGCAAAGCAAGGAAGGAUAAACACUUUGGUGGAAAAGGACAUUUAAUAGGAAGAAAUGUCUAUAAAGGGGUUUAAAAAUAACUUUUCCUUCUCGAAAAUCUGCUGUUUCUUUACAGAUCUCAGCUCAGAGCAAGGUUCCCUUUGUCCUGGACUUCUCUGUUUUCUGAACUCAAGAUUAAACACACACACACACACACACACACACACACACACACACACACACACACACACACACACCUUGGAAGCAAUUAAUAAGCAGCUUGUAUAACACCCACAUGAUGAGCACUGUCCAGUAGCAGCUAAAUUCAGUGAAGUAGACGAAUGUAUUAACAAGGAAAACAAAGUUCCAAAAUGUUUAAUGGGAAAAAAAUCCUUCAGGAUGAUGCAAAAUUCCAGAAACAUAUCAUGCAUUGAAAGAUUAAAAUCCAGAGUUAAUAAUUUUCAUGAAAAAUCGUAAAUAGCAAAUGCAUGAUAUAGAGUAUCUUUAGGGAGAUAGUAAGGAGAACACAACUGGGUUGAGGUGUGUGGAAGAGAAGACAUUUCUGUUUGUAGUUUUGUGUUACUGCCUUUCUUCUCUGUUAGAAACAGAAAAUUUCCCAGCAUUCUAAAAGGACUCAUGGCUACCUAAAGAUGUAAUUAUUUUUUCCAGCUUCCCUUGCAGCUAUGCAUGGUCCAGGACUAAAUCCUUGCCAAGGUAAUGCAAUGAAAAUGUUCCAUUUCUUUAGAGGAAACUUGUUUUAGUUCUCUAUCCCUUCUCCCAUGUGCUAGAAUAUGGAUGAACUGCUAGUAGUCCAGCCUCAACUCUCAGCCCACAAAUGUUAUCCAAACGGAAUUUAAGAGUCUAGUUUAUAUUCCCAUGGUUUGUCUCUCUCAUCAAUUCACUCAGCAAGUAAUUACUGAACACAUACUAUGUACGGCAACCUAAGUGAGGUAUUAGGGACAUGGUGGUAAGGAAGCUCCUGAUGGAGCAUGUGUUUGAUCCUAAAAUCUCUGCACUUGAACUUGCUCAUGAGCAGCCUCUGUGUCCCUUCCGUGUGUGUGUGUGUGUGUGUGUGUGUGUGUGUGUGUGUGUGUGUGUUCAUGUGUGUGGGGUGAGUAUGCAUGCAUGUAUGCAGGUGUGUAGGCACACAGCAUGUGGGUAUGAGUGCCUGUAGGUGCACAUAUAUGUGGAGGUUGAUUCUAAAAUCAUCCUCAAUUGCACUUCUACCUUAUUCAAUGAGAAGCAGGAUAGCUCAGACCGACCCAGAGCUCACCAAAGCAGCUGGUUUCACUAGCCUGCUUCCUCCUGGGAUUCCUUGUCUCAGAGUUUUACCUUGUGAGGUUGGAAUUACAGGCAGCUGCCCCACCUAUCUGGUAUUUAUAUGGGCUCUGGGAAUCCCAACUCCAGUCCUCACACUUGGAAGGACUUAACUACCGAGCUUUCCCCAGCCCAGUUUCUAUUUUUAUUCUAAACUUAACUCGUGUUGAAAGAACACUGCCCAGGGGCACUGAUUUCCACUGAUUCAACCCAAUUAAAACAAUUCAGACUGAGUUUUUGAGGAGGACUUUUGGGAGUUUUUUUUUUUUUUUCAAGAGUUUUAAAGUUUGUUCUGAUUCUUUAAGAAGGUAUUUGAUUAUUAAGAAAUACGUAACACACAAAAGUGAGUAAAAGUCGUCUGAAUGGAGAAGAAUAAGAAAAAUGAGCAGUAAAGAGUCUAUGAAAGAGUGAGAAGUGACCGGUUACGAGAGACUUAUCAGGUAGUAUACAUCUCUCAAGUACCACCCCAGCCAUCGAUACUGUUGGGUGCAUGAUUUGAUUUAUGUGGUAGUAACCAAUUAAUUUUUACUGUUAUAUUUUAUUUUAAUCAGGUGAACAUUGUCGUAGGGUUUCUGUUGUGGUGAUAAAUACCAUGACUGGAAGCAACCCUGGGGAAAAGGUGUUGUUUCAGCUUCCAUGUCUUGAUCACACUCUCACUAAGACAAGCCAGUGCAGGAACUCAAGGCAGGUACCUGGAGGCGGGAGCUAAAGCCAUGAAGGAGUGCUGCUUACUGGCUUGCUGCUCAUAGCUUACCCAGUCUAUCUACUUUCUUACACAACUCAGGAUGACCAGCCUAGGAAUGACACCACCCGCAGUAGGCUGGACCAUUCCACAUCAAUCAUCCAUCAAGAAAACAUGUCACAGACUUGCCUACAGGCCACUAUUACAGAGGGAGGCAUUUUCUUAACUGAGGUUUGCUCUUUCUCACAUAACUGGCUUGUGCCGAGUUGACAUAAAACUAGCUGGCAAAAAUAUAUUGCAGUUUGUUUAUUUCUCUGCAGAGGGUCAGUGAGGUCAUUUUCUGUUGACGGCUGUGAAGAGCAAUCUUGUGAAAGAUCAUUUCCCUUGCAGGUUAGAGUUUCUCCCAGGUAUUUAGGAAGUGCUUAGGAAUAGAGUCCUAGGGGUGUGGGGCCUGUCUGCCCAAUCCUGCUUCCUAACAAACGUCAAGCUAACUCUGGCCAGGUGGUUGGAUGUCUUUAGAUUGUCACCAGCAGUGUGUAAGAGUCAACACUUUGACUUUGCUGAAAUUGUAAUGUUUCCAUUUAAAUGUUCAUGGACUACUUUCUUAUUGUGGUUCUAAUUUAUGGUUUUGUAUCCCCCCUUUUCUUUUUUUCUGAUCACCUUAAGGUUAGGCAGCUUUGCACAUAAACUGGGUCAUUUGUGGUACCUUAUCUAUGAGAUGCCCGUGUUUUCCCUUUUCAAAGUCGUGUGUGGGGGAGCAUGUGUGUGUGAAGUGCGAUUUUUGUGUCCACUUUCCCUUUUCAAUUCUGGGAUUUUGUCUGGUUUGAACCUGUGUUUGGGUCUUGUGUGUGCUGUCAGUCUCCAUGAGGGGAUAGGUACAUCAGGCCUAUUGUGUCUGGAAGCCAAAGUCAGUUUUUAUUUUAAUAUGAUGACAUGUCUUUAUAUUAUGGGGUUUAUUGUUAGGGAAAAUCUCUGUACUUUGAGGUUUAAAAGCAUUCUAUAUCUUAUCCUACAGUUUCCAUGAUUUGACCUUUCGAAUUUGUCUUACAUCUAAAAGCAGUAACUGAUUUUUAUAUACAAUAAGGGUUAAUCAUUAAACCUAUUUAUUGUCUUGUAGAUAACCAAUUAUGUUCUUCAGAACAGUAGGGCAGGGAGCAGGGAGAACAAGGCUGAACUGUCAUGACCCCUCCUACUGAUCUCUAAUUCCUGCUUCAGAUUUUUUGAAUGAGAUUAUUUUAGAGUUCAAAUUUGUUCAUUACUCAUCUUAUAUAAUGCCAAUAAUACACUGUCCCUUUAUAGGGAAGUGCUUAGGAAUAGAGCAGGCCCAUCUCUCCAAUUUUAUCCUCCAAAGGUCAUGACAUGCAUCCUAUAGGCUCAGGCCAGCACCUACUUCACACUUGCCACAGGUCUGGGCCUGGUGUCUUCCCAGCAAGUGAGCUGUGUUCUCAGCCCUGAGCUUCUUCAGCCAAAACAGGCAAAGCAUCAGCUCUUUCUCUACCUGUUUUUCUACUCAGGGCACUGGUUAGGGAUCGUCAAUCUGACACAAUGCUCAGGGUGCUGGUUAGGGAUUGUCAACCUGACACAAUGCUCAGGGCACUGGUUAGGGGUUGUCAACCUGAUACAAUACUAAGCUGCUGGUUAGGGGUUGUCAACUGACACAAUGCUCAGGGUGCUGGUUAGGGAUGGUCAACCUGACACAAUGCUCAGGUUCUGGUUAGGGGCUGUCAACCUGACACAAUGCUCAGGGUGCUGGUUAGGGGCUGUUCAACCUGACACAGGCUAAAGUCACAUGGGAAGAGAGGCCCUCAAUUGAGCCACUGCCCAGAUGGUAAGUCUUUGAGAAAUUGUAUUGGUUGAUAACUGAUGUGGGAGGGGCCCUGGCCACUGUGGGAAGCACCAGUCUUACAUAGGUAGUCUGGGCUAUAGAAGGAAGCUAGCUGAGCAUGGGCCAGAGAGUAAGCCAUCCAGUGGUGCUCCUCCAUGGUUUCUGUCUUCUGGGUCCUUGAGUCCUGCCUUGAUGUCCCUCAGUGACAGACAGUGACCUGGAAGUGUAAGGAGGAAAGAUCUUGCUUCUUGGUAUUUAUGCCGAAGUACAUAAAGAAUGCUGGGGAGCCCUCGUUCUCAAAAACUAAGCAGGCUUUUAGCUGUUGGGAUCCCAUAAAACUCAAAAGGACAAAUAUGACCUACACUUGUUUUGCUGAAGCCAAUUUUCACAACCUGGUAUUUAAGUUGAGCUCAGGGACAUUUGAGUAAUCCCACAGGCUCUCUGGGCUCUGGUAUUCAUCUGCAUCUUAGUUUUCUGCUUGGGGAUUUUGGAUCACAACUGCCAACCUGGGAAAACCACAUCACUUACACGAGAUUAAGCAGUCCCUAAUUAGUUUUCCUGACCCUCUUGUAUACCAAUAAAUGGCCCAUUUACAGGACAUUAAAACAGAAUUCUUUCCAUUAAAAAUGACUUCCUUGCUAGUGAACAAGACCUAGGUUUAACACACAUGUUAGUUAACAUGAGGUUGUCCUAAUGUACAGUGGACACUUUCCAGUGGGAAGUGAUUGGAGGACUAAUUAGGAUUCUUGGCUCGGUCAAUUAACUGGGAGGGGAGUCUCUCUACGGUGAUGUAAAUAUUGCUUAUAUUCUUAGUUUGUUUUGGGCCUAUUACGUUUUGAACCAAAGAGCUAGAGACUGAAGUGAAAUCCUAUUACAAGCUUUGGAAAAUGAUGAGCCUAAAAAGGCAUUUUAUAUGACAUCAUCAGGUCAGUUUUAAAGUUUUAUUUAGAUAUGCAAAUGCAGUAGCCACUUCUUUUGGAUUCUGACGCACACCUCAUCCUAUCGAAAGCACUGUGAGUCCCUUGGUGUGCAUAGUAGGCAUCUCAUGAUUAGUCUAGGGAACUGCACUAUUUUGAGGGGUGAUUGCUGUUUAUAGCACUAAGUCUGUUUUGCCUAAGAAAGCCAAUUACAGAACAGUGAGAACAUAUGUAGAGAAGAAAGAGCUUAGCUAGGAGGGCGAAUCUCCACUUCCCCUUCCUAAGGGUGUUUGUGGGGUAAAGAAAAAGGGUGGUAUGGGCAUUGAGAAAGGUAUUUACAAGUGAGAGAAAGCAAGAUUUGAUGUCAGCCGGGGGAGGGGGGUGGUAUCUGUGGCACCUUUCUAUACCCGUGCUUUGAAAUGCCCCAGCUAAGCACAUUUUAUAGAUGACUGUUUGCUCUUCAGCAUCCAAACACUGUCACUGGACAUUUGCACAGGCCUGGGUGGUGGAUUUUUGGUUUCAAAUCAGGUUGGAACUCCCUUUGAGUUCCUGAAAGCAAUUAAGCAGCCGUGAUGAUUUCGACCCAGACACUUGGGAGUCAUUUCCAGGUGGGUGAGUGGCCUUGUUUUGUGGCUGCCAUUCCUAGCCAGAUUUCCACACCAGCAGGUCAUAAGUCAAUAUGAGUUACAGUAAAGGAUGGGGGAGGUGACUCUGAAGACUCUCGGGAACCCGGGUUCCUGACCAGGAAAAGAAGGAUGCCCCGAAGGAAGGGGAUUCCUUGUCUUUGGUGUGCUGUGGGAACUUAAAUAGGCACCCGUAGCCAUGACUUUGACCUGAGGUGUCCCAAGAAAGCAAAACACCAGUUUGGUUUCUACAUAGGGAAACUAGAAUAGGUGAGUGAAGAAAGAGAUACAAAUUUCAAUAUGACCAUAGGACCAAUUCAAGCAGUUGGCUCUCUGCAAUAUUUUGAACACGAAAUACCCUCAAAGUCAUACACACACAGGCAUGUGUUGCUGUUUGAUUCCAGCUGGUGGCACUAUUUAUGAUGGUGAUGGAAAUGAUAGGCUACAGGGCCAACCUGGCUGAGACAGGCCACUGGAGCAGUGUCCACAGACCCUUGCUUGACCUCGCCUGGCUGCUCUAAGUUGGGAGAACCGCUAUCACUAUCUGUUCUCUUGCCAUGGUGUUCUGCCCAAGCGUCUAGGACCAGGUGAGCUGGAUCUGAACCCUGUGAAACUGUGAGCUGAAAUGUGUCUUUCCUCUCUUAGAUCAUCCCCUUUGGGUGUCCAGGUCACAGCAAGUGAUAACUCCUUUCUGUGUUCCAGAAAAAGAAACAGGUAGGAUCUUGUGAGACUGGACAAGUAGCUCUCCUGUGGAGAAGAUUUGAAGGUAUCUUAAUAAUAUAAGAGAGCUUUCUAAUGUUGGUGGGCUAGAACAUAGCUGCACAGCACUGGGUACACUUUGUAAGACUCAGAAACUCUGUUCUGGUGACCUAUAAAUAAAGUACUCUAGAGGUGGGAUCAGAAAUUCAAGGUUAUUUUCAGUCACACAAUGAGUUUGAGGCCAGCUUGGGAUCACAAGGCAUGUUCUAAGGAAAAACAAAACAGCACAAAGGAGAAAGGAAGAAGGAAAGAAAGAUUGAAGAUGGCUCUAUCUUCUACAAAGAGAUACUUUACAGACAACAUCUAUAGAAACUCAGUCAAUCCUUUACCUGUUUUCUCCAUCUGUAGCCAAACCAAGAACCUCUUCCCUGCAAUAGAUCAGUGGUACUCUGGUGUAGUCUAGUCAAGAUCCAGACGACCCCGAGCUCUGAGUUAUUAUUGUCCUUCCGUGAUUGCUCUGCUGGCAGGGGUGUGUUCACUGGAAAGUGAUCUUUCCAGUCAUGCAUGGCACAUGCAUUCUGUGCUCCCUUGAGUAGCAGCAUCACAGCCCUGAUUGUGGUUUGGUGUGUGGUCCAUGAAUCACACUUUGUGCUUGGACAACAGAAGCACAACCCCCUUCUGGAGCCCAGCAGAGAGAACCAGCUGUUCAAACUCUGGCCCUGUCAAGGGGCAGAAACUGCUCCAGGUUCACUCCUGGUGAAUGUUGCUUUGUUUCCAGAGUAAACUCAGCCCACCACUGUGUAUUUCCAAACAGUAGUAGAAGAAGGGCUCCAUCUCCUCCAUCUUCCCAGACCUACAGGAGCUCAGUUUCAAUAUUCAGCUUCAUGCUCAACUGGCACAGAUUGGCAAGCCAUGCCUGAAAGUCACCAUCAUCUUUGGGUUUUGCCAUAGUUAUUAUGUAUUUUUCCUCCAAGUUGUGUGCAUGCCCUUCAGGUUGCUUUCCUUCCAGCAGUCUAUAGAGAGGCUGCAGAUAAGGUUUCUGUGUGCCUCCCCACUCAUCACAACAUUUUCCAUCCGUCCUGAUUCAGUUCUAAGCCUCUCUUGAUUAAAGGAUCUUUGUUGUACUCUUAAGUUUUUUGAUUAAAAUGGAAUUAAAUUGUAAAUCAAUUCCACUAUUUUCCCCAAUGUCUUUCAUCUCUCCAGCUCUUUCCAUAUGAACAUCCCAUCACAUGCUGCCUAAUUCAUGGCCUAUCUAUCUAUCUAUCUAUCUAUCUAUCUAUCUAUCUAUCAUCUCCUGCUCAACCACAAGGACAUGUUUAAAGAAAGCAACAGCAAUAACCAACCAACCCUCUGACCACUGAGUAGACUUGAAGUUAUAGGAUGUUGCUAUGAUGAUGGUUACUCUGAUAGACAGGAUUAUAUAUUAGCCUAUGCCUGCUUGAGUUGUUCUGUACCAACCCAAUUCUCACCUUCUGUCUUUCUUUCUGGACAGAGAAACCCCCAAAAUAUCCCAGCUGGUCACAAGCCUCUACCAUAGACAGUCUCUUGGUCGAAUGAUGCUUCCAAUUGGAUUAGUCUCAUCAGGAGCAAGGAUGUGUGUCCUGGGACCCAAGUUUCAAAGCAUCUACAUGGUGAGAACCAAUGCUAUGUGGGGGACUUUGGUUUUCAAGCUGUUCGGGAAAGGAGUUGCUGCUGAAAAGGAGAUUCUCAUCUCAUUCAGUCACAUGAAGUCUGUUCUGGAAGUCAGGCUUAUAUCUCUUUACAGAAUAAUGCAGUAGACAAGAUGAAUGCUCUAUUGGUGUAAAGCAGGCCCCUGAACAUGGGAGUACACAGGUUGGAGAAUGUGACAUUUCAAUGUUCUUCUGAUGUUCCUGUGUGGCAGAAGAGCGCCAUUGUUUCUCUCUGUGUUAAAGAUGUCCUUAUCCAUUCAUUCAGUCUGCUACAACAAAACCCUGGAGGCAGGAGCCUUCUAACCUAUGGACUCUCAUUUCUUACAGCCCCUGUAGGCAGAAGGUUAAUGAAAUCCCACAAGGAUGCACCAUAAAUAUACACAGUAAAUAUCAUUUUAUACACCCCAGUAUAGGCCAUAUACUUAUUUUCUGGAGAGCAGUGAAAGGUAAGUACAAAAGGCUCCAGACAAACACGAAUUCUGAGCUCAUGUGAGGUUGAAGCCAAAUCACUCGGGUCAAAGGGACAGUCUACAGAGGAAGGUAGAAGAACAAGUCUAACUGGGCCAAUGCUGACUCACAGAGGGUCCUGUGGGUUCAUGCAGCCAAGCUGGGGUCACCUGUCGAGUCUCCUGAAAGUAUAUCUGAGAUGGAUAGAUAGGCUAUAAUGUUGGCAGAGGCCCAUUGUUGGUUCUGUGACCUGUGGUGUAGAAUCUAUUAGGAUAGGAAGGACGCUUCGGGAAUUUGUGUAUCUGCCCCCAUCGUUUAGCUAAUAGAGUGAGUCAGCAGGAAUGUUCUAUCCCCAAACGAAUCACAGAGACUGGCACUUGUAUUAGCUACUUUUUCUUGUUGAUGUUUCAAGAUCCCUGACUGAAGCAAUUCAGGAACGAUCCAUUGAGGUAAAAGGGAUACAGUUUGUUAUGGUGGGGGAAGAAUACAGCUGGAGAAUGGGGUAGUUAUUCCUAUUGUUUCUACAGUCACUAAGCAGAGAGAGGUGAAUUCUUGCUUUCUCCUUCUUCCCUUUUUAUUCACUUCAGGAUGCCAGCCCAUUGGAUGAUACCACUAUGCACAGGGUGGGUCUUCCCGCCAAAGUAAAUCUCUGUAGAAAUGACAACCAGACAACUCAAAGAUGUCUCUGCUAGGUUAUUUUAAAUGCAGUUGGCUGACAAUGAAGGUAUGCAUUACACUAAACUUAAGGGCGUGAAGGCAGUCUCCUCGUGUCUCCACUCUCCCCCUGUUCUGCUUGCCCCUUCACCCUCUGCAGAUAGAGGACACAAGAGGAUCACUGCACAUUUAAUAUCCCCGUGCCUGUGUACAUGACAUAUACAGACGGUCUCCAAGCCAGAAGCCACUGGGUUUGUACACUGCACCAGAGACUGGAGACAGUGAGAAUAAUACUAGGAAAAUGAGGAAAGAUCAUCUGGGGUAGAUGUUCGAGAGGGGCACAGGUGACCAAGUGUUUGUUUCACACGUGGGAGGCCACCAGAAACCAUCUGCUUCUGCAGAAGCCACAAGAACCCAGGUGGGUGUGUGGCUUUGUUUUAUCUUUGUUUUUGCUUUUUGGGUUUUUUGAGACAGGGUUUCUCUGUGGCUUUGGAGGCUAUCCUGGAAAUAGCUCUUAUAGACCAGGCUGGUCUCGAGCUCACAGAGAUCUGCCUGCCUCUGCCUCCCGAGUGCUGGGAUUAAAGGUGUGCGCCACCACCACCCAGCAAAAAACUGUUAGUGCUCUCAUUUCUAGCUGGAUUUCCACACCAGAAGGUCAUCAGGGAAGAUGUGUUACAGUAAAGACUGGGGGAGGUGACUCUGCAGACUCUCAGGAACCUGGGUUCCUGACCAAGAAAAGAAGGAUGUCUCGAAGGAAGGGGAUUCCUUGUCUUCACUUGGGCCUUUGGUGUACUGUGGGAAUUUAAGCUGGCUAUUGUAGGCACCAUCUUGGCAAGUGACUGGAGACCUUCCCAAGGGCACGAUAGACCUCUUGAGGGCAGAAACACCAUCAGUCAGAUUUCUGCAUAGGGCAAUUAAAAUGGGUAAGUGAGGAAAGGGAUUUGUAUUUCAAUAUAUCCAAAGGACAUGUUAAAGAAGUUGGACCUCUGAAACAUUUUGAACAUCAAAUAGUCCCACAGGCAUACACACAGUCGCGUGUUGCUGUUUCGUCCAGGCUGGUGGCAGCAUUUUUGGUAGUAAUGGAUACUUUGGGAGGUGGGGCCGAGACAGGCCACUGGAGUGGGGGCCACAGACCAAUGUUUGCUCUGCCCUCAUUCCUGUCUGCUGUAAGGCUGCUGGGAAGCUCAAUCUCUACCUACUUCUAUUGAUGCAGUGUCUGUCCAAGCUUCUACACCAGGUGAGCAGGAUUUGAACCCUGUGAAACUGUCACCUAAAACAUCUUUCCACUCCUAGACAAUCCUCCCAGGUGUCUGGUUCGUAGCUAUAAACCCCUUUCUAAGUUGCAGAAGAAGAAACAGGCAGGAUCUCGAGAGACUGGACAAGCAGCUCUCCUCUGGAGAAGAUAUGAGGAUAUCUUAAUCAUAUAACUGUAACGAUAAGUCUUUACUCCAUCCGCCCAAGCCCCGCCACCACGUGGGCGCCCAGAAUAACACACAGAGUCUUAUACUAGUUUACAACGCUGCUGGCCAAUUGACUAGGAUUUCUUACUUGCUAGCUCAGUCUUAAGUUUCAACCAUAAAAACUCAUCUUAUCGGACACCAGCUGCAGGUGUCUUCUCUUGCAGGGAUCACAUGGUGGCUCCAUAGAGAAGAGAGCAGGAGGAAGAGGAAGAGCAAGAGAGAGCUAUUUCCUGUUUAUAUUCUGAGUCUGACUGCUAUGUCACUUCCUGCUUGGAUCUUUACUACAUUUCCCAGAAUCCUCCUUGACACCUAGUCCCACCUAUCUUGCUUUCCUAUUGGCCAACAGUACUUUAUCAACCAAUGAGAGAAUCAUAUACACAGAAGGACCUCCCCCAUCAUGUAACAGAGCCUUUUAUUGUUGGUGGGCUUGAAUAUAACUGAGUAGCACUGAGUAUGCUUUAUUAGACACAGUUCAUGUGCCAUCCCACACCAGCUUGUCUCUCUGGCCUCUACAUAGGAUGCUCACCCAUUUUUCUCAUUUUACAUCUCUGUUGGACCUAGCAAGUGCCUCCUGCAUGCUGGCCUCUGGUCUUAGCACGUCACCCAUCUCCUCACACUUCCAGGUGUUUUUAAUAUUUCCCAGAGGUAUAGUUCUGGGCAUCAGAAUUCCAUAAAACCACAGAAGCUCAGUGCUGAUGGCAAGUAUGAGUGGGGAGUUAAUGCCAUCUUCUCCAUUGGCUACUGAGUGGGGACAGGAAGCCAGGAGGGACAUGUGGGCUUCACUCUACUAAUGAGAGACAAUGGGCACUUUGUCCAGAUAUGCAUCUUCUGUCUUUUUGCCAGCAGAACAUCCACUCUGUCUUGAUAGGAGCCAUUGCCUGGGCUUCCUUGCAAAGCUGGUGUCAGCUCAGUAACAGAUGCUCUUAGGCUUCAUUUCUCCCCUCCCUGCCUCAGUUUUAUUCCCACUCUUUUCUGGGUAAGGUGUUAGAACUUACACGUUACAUUAAACUCUGAGUUCUCAGAACACCUUGGCUAAGGUGCCAUGACUGAGUCAUGUUGAAGGUUGACUAUGGGUUGAAGGUUAAAGGUAGACAGUAAAAAGUGAUUGGUGGGUAUAUGAUAUUCUCUGGGAGGAGAUUUUCACAUUUGAUUUUGAGGAGGAUGAAGAGGAUCAGAAUUGGAGAGCUAAGUGAGGGUGAGGCAGGCAAUCGAGAGGACACCCACACACCUUCUGAGAUGGUGGCUAGAGGAGAUUUGAAGGACCAACAUGUGCAGCAGAGGUAAGGGUGUAGACACUGAGCACUUCCUAAUUUAGGUACUCUGGCCAUCCAGGCUCUGCCAUGUGAAAUGAGGUAGAAAGUUGCCUUUGCAGCUAAAGGUGGUGGUGUUAGUAAAUGAAAGGCUUGGGCCAGCUUGCUGCUGUGUAAAUUUUUUAUACACAGAUUUUUUACAGUCACAUUUCUGG
rnacentral:lncRNA from 1 species